UGGGGAAUUUUGGACAAUGGGGGAAACCCUGAUCCAGCCAUCCCGCGUGUGCGAUGAAGGCCUUCGGGUUGUAAAGCACUUUUGGCAGGAAAGAAACGUCGCGGGUUAAUACCCCGCGAAACUGACGGUACCUGCAGAAUAAGCACCGGCUAACUACGUGCCAGCAGCCGCGGUAAUACGUAGGGUGCAAGCGUUAAUCGGAAUUACUGGGCGUAAAGCGUGCGCAGGCGGUUCGGAAAGAAAGAUGUGAAAUCCCAGAGCUUAACUUUGGAACUGCAUUUUUAACUACCGGGCUAGAGUGUGUCAGAGGGAGGUGGAAUUCCGCGUGUAGCAGUGAAAUGCGUAGAUAUGCGGAGGAACACCGAUGGCGAAGGCAGCCUCCUGGGAUAACACUGACGCUCAUGCACGAAAGCGUGGGGAGCAAACAGGAUUAGAUACCCUGGUAGUCCACGCCCUAAAACGAUGUCAACUAGCUGUUGGGGCCUUCGGGCCUUGGUAGCGCAGCUAACGCGUGAAGUUGACCGCCUGGGGAGUACGGUCGCAAGAUUAAAACUCAAAUGAA
rnacentral:rRNA from 1 species